rnacentral:other from 1 species
UGUUGACUGCUGUGUUCGAGGCGUACAAGCAUAUGCCUUGGCCCUAAUUAAUAUUAACAGGGAAUUUCAUUAGACCGUCAGUGUGCAUGCUCACCUUUUGUAGUGAGAAGCCUUAGACAUUUAAGGAAUUUCCGCCUUGUACCUUUGGUACCAAGGACGCCAGUAUGCAACGGCACAUGUGGUCAACAU